UACGUAGGGUGCAAGCGUUGUCCGGAAUUAUUGGGCGUAAAGAGCUCGUAGGCGGUCUGUCACGUCGGCUGUGAAAACCCGAGGCUCAACCUCGGGCCUGCAGUCGAUACGGGCAGACUAGAGUUCGGUAGGGGAGACUGGAAUUCCCGGUGUAGCGGUGAAAUGCGCAGAUAUCGGGAGGAACACCGGUGGCGAAGGCGGCAUCCUGGACCGACACUGACGCUGAGGAGCGAAAGCCAGGGGAGCAAACGGG
rnacentral:rRNA from 1 species